GUGGCUUGGGCACAGCCGCCUGAGAGCUGCGGCUGGGCGAGGGGCGAGCAGGAGAGGCCGGGCUCGGUCGGAGGAAGGUGUGAGCUAGGCUAGAGCAGAGGGAGAAAAAAACCAAGCCCAAAAACAAAACCAAAAAAUAUUAAUAAUAAGGCUGCCCCUUGAGCUGAUAUGUUGAGAGGAGGCUGGAGCUGGAAGAGCAACUGUGCCUCCUGUUCAGGAAGUUGUUCACUGCUGCAAACCUCCCAAGGAAGCCUGUGUACAGUUUUUGAUUGACUCAUGGCUACUAUAACUAUUAUUUAUUAACCAGCUCUUUGGGUGGCAAACCAGUUAUCCUCUUUGGGAACUCACAUGCUGAGGUUCUGGAGCUCAUGGACAUGGAGCUACAUGUGUGGACCAUGUGAAUUACUGAUUACAUGGCAGGAACAAAUUCUCCUCUAGCCUUGUUGGCUGUUCAACUUCUUGUCUGCUGUAAGGAUGAAGAACUGUCAGGUUCCAACUCCAAAAAUCCUUCCUGCUUUCUCCUGUGUUCUGCAACCCACGCUGGCCUAGUUUUGAAGCAUGCUGGAUAAUGAAUUCUGAAGUGAGGCAUGGAUACAAACAUCUCUUCAUACUAGCAGCCGAAGCCUACAUCAACCUGGAAAAGCAUGUAUGUAAGUGUGAAUCAAGACAGAAGAAAGGGCAGGUAGAGGCUCCCAGUAAGCAGGAGGAGUGAUGUGCCUGACAGAGCUGAAGCCAGCUGGACUUCAAAUGUGCCAAAAAGCCUUCCUGAACUGCAACCUUACAGCUGCUGUACCAAAACAGUCUCAGAAGAGGAUCUCACCAUCCAAUGCUUUAGACUACUCUCUCUGCACCAAAACAACCUGAGUUUGAGAUGAGUCCAGGCUAAAAACACAUGUAUACUUGAGGUUACUGUUAUGGACCCCUUGUUUCUGUAUCUUGUGUAAUUUCGCAUUUUUUUAACAAGUAGGAGCACUACCCCACGUGUGUGAUGUGAAGGUGUGUGUCAAUUAAAGGUGUGAAAAUAUUUACAGCAAAAGGCUCUGUCUAGAGUAAUAACAGAGAAGCCAAGAGGCUUGUGGUUCAGUAACAAGUUCAUUCAGAAAUUCACAAGGCAGUGUGACAGCUGGAGUGAGGAAAGACUUGUGGCAAUAUUUCUUUAAGAAUUGCAUGAUGAAAAAAUAAUAAUAAACGUUAACAAUGUUUUUUGUUAUUUCCUCCCCUUUUUUUUUUCUUCUUUCCCAUGAUAUAAACAAUGGUACUCUGGUCAUAAGCCAAAACCUGACAAAGAUCCAAGGUUGAAAGGGUUUUCUUUGAGCCUGUCUUCCUGGUAUAAUUAUUGUAGAUUCAGAGGAACCAGAUCUGGAGUGUUGUAAAACUCAACACAAUGAACUUGACAGACAGCCAGAUUUCUGUUUUCAGCCAGUUUAGGGUUACUAUAAUCUCAUUAUUAUGCUUGAAAGACGACAAGUAAUAGAAUCUCAGGUAGCCGUUCUGUCGUUACUCAGCCGCAUCUUCUCUUUUAUGCCGAUUUCCCUUGAUUACCUGAACUAGUGAGGCUCGGUUUUCAACCACUUAUCUUCCAGAAAUAAUCAUCUGAUCAGCCUUACAAGGUUCUCACUGCACUCAACGGUUUUAAUGGGUCAAGCGUUAAAUUAACCCUUUAACCAUAUCCCAGGAGAAUACAAAACUUAUUAAAAAACAAUUUACUAUUCAGUCAUUGUUAACUUUGCAAAGGAGAAGGAGUUCCUUAGCCAGCUUUGCUUGUUCCCUCCACUCAUGUCCUGUUUUACUGAAUCUUUGCUCUUACUAACACAUAAAAUCUUUUUAAAGCUUCUGCCUAAGGAAACAUUCUUUUGGUUUCUUACUUUUACAGAAGCAUAAAAUGAAACCACAGCAAAAGCUGAGUAUCUUACAUUCUAUUUUAACAAUUUUUUACAAAGGUUAAUUAAUUUUUCCAUGUAUGGAAAACCACAUCUGCAAAAAUGUAACUCAUGUCAGUCGGUGUUGUAUCACAUGCAGAAUUAUAAGGCUUGUGAAACUCUUAUGGACUUGCCUAUAUGAUGGAAAGGGUUUGCAACACUGUCUGCUAUGGGAGAAUGUUUGCGCAAGCCUCAGCUACAGCAGGGAAGCAGCCGAGCAAGAGGUCACUUACCCCUGUGGAUCUGCGUUGGUGUGCAGAGCAGUCAGCAGCUGCGCUGCCGCUUCCAGCCUCCCCAGAAAACUCUGGAGUCCCCUCUGGGAGGAGGCUGGAGGCAGGAGCCCAAGCAAUGCUCCCUGGCUUCAUGCUUUCAUAGGACAGUUCACAGCCAGCAGAAAUGUGCCUUCUGCCCUGACUCAUCCCAAAGUUGCUGAAACCAAGGGAGGUGUGAGAAGAUGUGUCUCUGGAGGAGCAGCCUUGGCAAAGCUGCUUCUAGGAGUAGGAGCAGCUGCACCGUCUGGGAAAGCAGCUGCACCAUCAGGAGGGGCUUGAACAAGAGGCAGAUGGCAUCACUGACUGCAGUACCAGACCUUAGUUGUUCUUGUGAAGCUAAGGCCUCCUUCACACAAGAACUCCUUUGGCGGAGCAGCCUAUCCAUGCCACAAAGGGACAAACUCUCCCUUUCAGCCAUACUCCAACAGCAAAAAAGAGACAAGAAAAGAAGUAUUUCAUGUAAACCAAGGCCAAAAAGAGCCUCAAUGUCCUAGCUGUUAUGAAUGAAGGGUGUGAUCCAUCCCAGUGCUGCUGCUUACAAAAAUAACAUCGUAGAGAUGCCCAGGGUGUAGAUCUAGCCUUGUUAUCUUCAACCAAUUCUUGCUCACACAAAAUUCUCACUGCUGUUCACAGGGGUUUUGCCAGGAAAUGACUUGAAUGAAAGAUGGAAAUUUUUACAGAGAAAUCUCAUAUGACACUUUCAUCACCUUUAGUUUGUACAAUUGCAUCUGAUCUUUGAUGACAACUGGAACUGCUUAAGGGGCUUUACUAGCUCAGGUUAGUAAUCAUCAAACGAAUAUUAGGACUAUAAAAUCUACUGUGCAUGUUAGUCAUUAUGUGUCUGUACAAAAAUAAUGCGUUGGUUUCAGUCUGUUCAUUGUAUGUUUGUCUUUUACAGUGGAGGAAUGGAAAAAAAGAAGAAACAGUGCUUAAAUGUUAGAUGGUGUGAUGAUUUUGAGUAUAUGGGCUUUUAAGAGGAAAGUGGGAUGAAUCCUCAGGCCCUUACACAGAAGUGGGAAGAGCCAGUGCCAGGAUAUUGAGCACAGCCAGCCUGCUGGUCAGGAUACUGUUGAUAGUUAGCCAAGAGAAACACAUAAAAGAGGAACAUACCUUGGGGCUCAGCCCUCUGUAAACACAUAAAAGCUUUAGGAUCUUACUGGUGACUGCAGUGAAGGUGUCUUGUUGCUUCCAAGUCAUCCAAUGGUAAGGCAUAUUUCUUAUAAAAGUAUUAUUCUAGUCUAUUUAAGCUUAGUGCUACAUCUUUUCAAAAUUUUGACAAAUGUUUGAGACCAACCAAUAUUGUACAUAUAUUGAAGGCAAUUAUGGAGGCAAUUAAAGAGAUAUUCUGUAUGCCUAAAGUAGCUCUAAACAUUUCCAUUUAAGCAACUGAAUCCCGCACCUGGACUUUUUUGCCUUUGAUACUUGAGCCUCAAUUUUUUUUAAUAUUAAAUACCUUUUAUAUAUUUUUCCAUCAGUUUCCAUUUGAGAAAAAGUAGUUAUUGUUUCCUCUUCAUCAGUCGUAGUGCUUCAGAUCCUCCCAUAAAAAAAUGUACACAUUCCUGUAAGAUCAGCAGGGAGUAGAAGCUUUUAUGGAGUCCAUGUCAGUAUAUGAGAAAAGAGGAAAAGAUUACUGUGAAAUUUAAACUAAUUCUGAAGGCAGAUAAAAUACACUUAAAUUUAAGAGAAAAAACAGAUAAUUUCUAUUUUCGCUCUUGGACAUACGAAUGAUUAAGAAAGAGAAAGGGCAUAUUCAGGAAAAAAUAAAACAAAUGAGGAAAAUACUGCAGUUUACAGGCCUUUAUCAAAGCCUGUUUCUGAACAGUCGCUCUUCAGUCUAAUGGGUUGAUACACAAAAAUCACAUCCAACUUCUCCUCAAGGGGCUGAUGUCUUUCCAGGCUUUCUGGAAGAUUUUUGGAGCAUAUUAUGUAGUGUGUGUGGCCUAUUCAUCUGACCCAAUCUGGACAUUUGCAGUUCUUAACCCAAGGCUCCCUUUGUAGGCAGUGGAGAAAAAUAGACACAUCUAGGGAGCAAUUUCUCUGACCUGUUUUACACAUGUAUUCUAAAGAUGUACUUCAAAGAUGAUGUGUGCCCAUGAAGAAUGUGGAAAAGGGAGCAAGUCAUGUUGUUCGUAACAUGUGAAUUCUAUUCAAGGGGCCCUUUCAAUGUCAGAGAGUUGGCUUUUCAGUAAAAUUUCUAAGUAGAACUAAUGCUCUGCUGGGAGAUCAUUGAGUCCACCCAGUCCUCCCAAAGGCAUAAAACUCCUGAAACUUGUCAUAUAUAAAAUUCUUCUCUAAAGACUACCACAAUAGAGCUCUGAGACAACUUUAAUUUAAAGACCUACAUCUUAUUUGCUUUAGCUUGAACAAGUUUCCUGUAAUUUAAGGCAAAUGGAUUACAGUUAAAGGACAAAAGAUGGCAGCAAACUGUACCCAAAAGCUAUAUUAAAAAGUGCUUCUGAAGAAGGGGUGAUUUUCUAGUAUACAAAGUAGCUACAUUAUAACACCUUACAUGAAAUCUGUGUGAAAUCUUAGCAGUGUUACAAUGUUAUCAAAAUAAAAAUAUACUUCAGUAGA
ensembl:lncRNA uncharacterized LOC115603996